UUAAGUAAAAGUAGUUAUAGGUGACAACAGUGGCGGCUGGUGAAAAAAAAUCUUGGUGGGGCAGGUGUGCCAAUAGAUUACCUUGCCUAGUCCAGCACAGGCAUUCAAAUGAACAGUUGGAAAAUGACUACAAUUACACAAUAAUCAUUUAAUGUCCUCCUCAAAAUCAGCAGUUUCACAGAUGAAGUUAACCAUUUACAGCUAUAU